WUAAGCAUAUCAYUAAGCGGAGGAGAAGAAACUAACCAGGAUGCCCCUAGUAAUGGCGAAUGAAGCGGGCAUAGCUCACGCCGCCAAUCUGAAGGCCUUACUCUUAUAMAGAAGCCUUCCGAAUUGUAGUCUAGAAAGGCGCCAUCGGCCGCGUCCGUCGCUCAAAUCCCUUGGAACGGGGUAUCGGAGAAGGUGAGAAUCCUGUGCCGUGGCGGAUAGCGGUCGCACGAUGCGUCCUUGUCGAGUCGGGUUGCUUGGGAUUGCAGCUUGAAGUGGGUGGUAAAUUCCAUCUAAAGCUAAAUACUGGCGAGAGACCGAUAGCGAACAAGUACCGUGAGGGAAAGAUGCAAAGAACUUUGAAAAGAGAGUUAAAGAGUGCUUGAAAUCGGCAAGAGGAAACCCGUUUGCGCCCGGCCUCGCGUCGUCGACUCAGCCGUUCUWUUGAGCGGUGCACUUUGUCGUCGCGGGUCAGCGUUCGCUCUUUCGGCGUGACACGGCGUACCGCAGGGCCUUUUGGCGAUCGGUUCGCACUCUCGCGGGAGGGGCWUUWGCUGACGGAACGGACSCAACCGACCCGUCUUGAA
rnacentral:rRNA from 1 species